GCCGAAAUAGCUCAGAUGGGAGAGCGUCAGACUGAAGAUCUGAAGGUCCCUGGUUCAAUCCCGGGUUUCGGCA
rnacentral:tRNA from 1 species